GAUGAACGCUGGCGGCGUGCUUAACACAUGCGAGUCGAACGAAGCACUUUAUUUGAUUUCCUUCGGGACUGAUUAUUUUGUGACUGAGUGGCGGACGUGUGAGUAACGCGUGGGUAACCUGCCUUCUACAGGGGGGUAACAGUUGGAAACGGCUGCUAAUACCGCAUAAGCGCACAGCAUCGCAUGAUGCAGUGUGAAAAACUCCGGUGGUAUAAGAUGGACGCGCGUUGGAUUAGCUGGUUGGUGAGGUAACGGCCCACCAAGGCGACGGUCCAUAGCCGAGAGGGGAGCGGGGCCCGACGCGUUGGGGGUGGGACACGGCGCGAAAUCGUACGCAAGGGAGCAGAGGGGAAUAUUGCACGAUGGGCGAUAGCAUGAUGCAGCGACGCCGCGUAAGCGAGGAAGUAUUUCGGUAUGUGAAGCUGUAUGAGAAGGGAAGAUAGUGACGGUACCUGACUAAGAAGCACCGGCUAAAUACGUG
rnacentral:rRNA from 1 species